AUGUGGUUGCCGGGGAUUGAACUCAGGACCUCUGGAAGAGUAGUCAGUGCUCUUAACUGCUGAGAUGUCUUCCAGCCCCUCAAGCAUCACUUUACUGAGGAGAUUACCUCUUAGAAACUCUUUGCUUGCUUGUUCCACACCAGGCUAAAAAGAAUGAGAUGAAAGGGCACUAAAAGCUCCUGAGACCCCACCCUCCCUGAGGACUUUCUCCUCAUCCAGCCGUGUAAAGAGGAAUAAAAGCCAAACAUUGACAUCCCAAGAGCAGCCCUACAAGUCGGACUUGAGCAGCAGACUCUCCACAGGCUGGUACAUCCUGCCUCUCCGAAUUCACGAGUUCUGCACCUCCUGGGAAAAUACACGGGGCACAACCAAGAACACUCUUCAUUUCUUCUACGUCCUACAGUUGAUCAGUCGAUGAGAGCAGAGCCUGAGAGGCCCAUGGAUGCCUGAUCUCUGACAGACUAGACCUUAAAAGCAAUGGGGGAGCUAAGGAGUUGACUCAGUAGACCAAAGCUCUUCCUGCACAAGUCUGCUGGCCUGCGUUUGGACACAAGGAGCCACACAAAACAGCUGGAUGCAGUAGUGUGCGCAUGUGUAACCCCAGCUAUCCUGUCAAGUCGGCAGACAGAGAGGAGAGAAGUGCCUGCCAUACCAUGGGCUAGCCUGGAAUACAGUGUGAUGACAGAAAUGAGAAAGGCCUGCCUCAACCCAGAAAGAAGUGAAAACUGACUCCCAAAUGGUGUCCUGUACAACACACACACACACACACACACACACAGAGAGAGAGAGAGAGAGAGAGAGAGAGAGAGAGAGAGAGAGAAGUGACUUCAAGGAAAACUAAUAGAUUUCACUCAAAAAUACAAUUAAAACAGCUACAAUUUAAAGUACAGGAGGGACUAUUAGCAACAAAUAUGCAAAAUCUAAUCAACUAUCAAAAGGCAAAUAAGUAAACCCAAGUCAAUACAGAGGCAAAGAACACAAGAACACGUGGCUCCCAGGGCAAAGGACUGAAGAAGGCAAAGAGAGAAAGGAAAGGUGAGAAUACAGGAGAGACGGGGGUAAAAUUACAAGGAAGGAUACAGGUACUGCAACAUUCAAUUGACCAUUUGUUCAAAUUAACAAAGAUUUAAUUCAUGACAUUUGUCAUACUUUAUGUACUGCUGCUAAGACUACAAAUUGGUGCAAUCAAUUUAAGAACUGGACUGGUUACAUGUUAGUUUUAAAAACAAAACAGGAUCUCUCUCUGUAACACAGACUAGCCUGGAAUGCGUGGCAGUCCUACCCUGAGUGCUGAAAUUAUAGGUGUGUGUCACCAUAUCCAGCUUUUAAUUGUAAUCACCUUCUUGAUAUCAGUAAUUCUAUAUCCCCAAAAACUGUAUUCUGAAGAUAGACUCACUAACUGGGGUGGAGGCGGCUUUGAGCAUUUAUACAUAGAUGCGUAUACAUAGAUGUAUAUACAUAGAUGUGUAUACAUAGAUGCGUAUACAUAG